rnacentral:rRNA from 1 species
CGUUAGCGGCGGACGGGUGAGUAACACGUGGGUAACCUGCCUAUAAGACUGGGAUAACUCCGGGAAACCGGGGCUAAUACCGGAUAAUACAUGAAACCGCAUGGUUUCAUGAUGAAAGACGGUUUUGCUGUCACUUAUAGAUGGACCCGCGGCGUAUUAGCUAGUUGGUAAGGUAACGGCUUACCAAGGCAACGAUACGUAGCCGACCUGAGAGGGUGAUCGGCCACACUGGAACUGAGACACGGUCCAGACUCCUACGGGAGGCAGCAGUC